AUAACGACUCUCGGCAACGGAUAUCUCGGCUCUCGCAUCGAUGAAGAACGUAGCGAAAUGCGAUACUUGGUGUGAAUUGCAGAAUCCCGCGAAUCAUCGAGUCUUUGAACGCAAGUUGCGCCCGAAGCCAUUCGGCCGAGGGCACGUCUGCCUGGGUGUCAC
rnacentral:rRNA from 1 species